rnacentral:rRNA from 1 species
CGAUGCCGCGUGCGUGAAGAAGGCCUUCGGGUUGUAAAGCGCUUUUAUUAGGGAAGAUGAUGACGGUACCUAAGGAAUAAGCCCCGGCAAACUUCGUGC